UCUUCCUUCACUGCCAUCAGAUAAUCAGUAACUGACUGUCGAGGAUGCAGCCCCUUUUCAAAGCGGUUGUACAUGCCGCUCCAGAACCUGAAAUUGUUGGAAAGGUCAUGAAUUUUCCCAUUUGGUGAAGCAGCCUCAUGAGACUUAAAUGCACACACUUUUUUUCUCCCCCCAGACAUUGUCCUAAAUUAUCUAUCCAUGCUUAUUCAUCAUUAGAGUGCAUACACAUAAGUUCAAAGACUAUCUAGUAAGGUUCAUGGUUCACUUGCAUUUUCUUUAUUCUGCAACUCAUAGGCAUCUGGACAUAGGCAACUCAAACUAAUUCUGAUACACAAUAGAAAGAAAGGGGAAUGUAUUUUAGAUCACAACUGAGAAAGGUUCACUGAAUGCAAAUUUCCAUGGGCUUUUUUGGUAUUAUUUUCUUGUUCUACACUAUGGGCUUUAGAGUAAUGGUAUCUAUAAAUAGCCAAAGGUAACAGUUUUUCAUAUUCGUAGUUCUCAAUUGUUGUUCAACUUUGGAAUUCUGUAUUGGUCUGGUGCUCCUCCAGCCUUGCUGGCAGUAGGGCCACAGGCAGGCCCUGAUUGUGUAACCAGUUCAGCAGACAGGUUAAGUAGACGAGCCCUGCUGUCAGCUGCAGCUGUCUGGACAAGUAGCUGACAGAUAUUUUUGGAGCACGUGCAUGCUGCUUGGUGGCUUAUUAUUCCUCUCCCAAUGCUAUUAAAUCACAUUCUGCCUUAAGUUUAUCAUCUGAUAGCUCAUGCUUGGAAAUCUUUACGCAGCCAAGUAAUUAGAUUAAAAUCAACAGGAUUACUUAUCCAUUGGAGGAUCUGCUGUAUCAAUGCUUCAUUUAUAAAUCCCACUAUCCCAAAGAAUACUAUUAAUGACUAUUUUUAAAUUGUUUUAAAGUGGAUGUGUUCUGGUAUAGUAGACAUGAAAGAAUUUAAUUUCUGUCAUUUAGGAUUUCUAUUGACUUUUUAACAGGUGCUAUUACUUGCAACUGGAAAACAAACUAAUCAUUUUUACUUAAAUGACAGUUUUAAUUAAUUUCUAUUCAAGUUCUCCCAAAGUUUUUCAAGACUAAUGGCUCAAUUAAUUAACUCAGGAUGUCAAUAGUAAUAUUUUUAAAGUGAGGGUAUUUUGUUAUAUUUUGAAAAAUAUCAGGAAAAAUUUAACUUCACUUUACCUGAUAUAACAACAUAGGGAAAGUCGGGUUUUUUUACAAAAUAAUUAUUUUAGCAAUGAAAUCAGAUGAUUUCUUGAAAAGAUCCUUUUUACUUUUGGCAGCAAGUGAUCCAAACUAACAUCACAAAAUCUUGAAAUGGAAGAAGUUAAAGCAACUGUAAAUUUAGAAAUGACAGACAAGAACAGGACUGAAAGAAGCAUUUCCCAGUGGAAGAAGAAAUUCCCAAACUGGCACGAAUAGAUGUGAUGCUGUAUGUGGAUGAGGAAUCUUUCAUUGAAUUCAAAGGCACAAGGAAACUGUUCCAUUAACUGCCAGACACAUUCAAUGAAUUGGUCAAUAACUGGCGAUAUCUCCUUUGGAUCUCCAUCUAAAUUGCCAUACCUGAAACAAGACAAGAUACAUCCAAUUAUAUCCUGAAUUCCUGCAAGAAAACUGAAUUAACUCUAAGGAAAAGAAACCCCUCACUUUUAGUGUGCAAGUUA